UNGUUGCCUGUGCUGGCAUGUCCAUUUGUGU
rnacentral:piRNA from 1 species